AAGCCUCUGCAGUGUUCGAUACGAGCCUUGUGCGUUGACCCUACAAAUUCCUCAGAGGAUGCUGUCACGGUUCGGCUGCGUGUAUAUCCACCGUCGGGUUUCGGCCCGGCUUCGGCUCACACAACCCGGACUGUCGGUGUCCCCCUGAACUCUUAAGGGUUCAGAAACCUCAACGCUCACCGGCACAGGCGGAGGCUUU
rnacentral:other from 1 species